GAUGAACGCUGGCGGCGUGCCUAAUACAUGCAAGUCGAGCGAACAGACGAGGAGCUUGCUCCUCUGACGUUAGCGGCGGACGGGUGAGUAACACGUGGAUAACCUACCUAUAAGACUGGGAUAACUUCGGGAAACCGGAGCUAAUACCGUAUAAUAUAUUGAACCGCAUGGUUCAAUAGUGAAAGACGGUUUUGCUGUCUCUUAUAGCUGGAUCCGCGCCGCAUUAGCUAGUUGGUAAGGUAACGGCUUACCAAGGCAACGAUGCGUAGCCGACCUGAGAGGGUGAUCGGCCACACUGGAACUGAGACACGGUCAAGACUCCUACGGGAGGCAGCAGUAGGGAAUCGGCCGCAAUGGGCGAAAGCUUGACGGAGCAACGCCGCGUGAGUGAUGAAGGUCUUCGGAUCGUAAAACUCUGUUAUUAGGGAAGAACAAAUGUGUAAGUAAAUAUGCACGUCUUGACGGUACCUGAUCAGAAAGCAACGGCUAACUACGUG
rnacentral:rRNA from 1 species